rnacentral:rRNA from 1 species
CCUACGGGUGGCUGCAGUGGGGAAUAUUGGACAAUGGGCGAAAGCCUGAUCCAGCCAUGCCGCGUGAAUGAUGAAGGCCUUAGGGUUGUAAAGUUCUUUUGUCAGGGAUGCGGUACCUGAAGAAUAAGCACCGGCUAACUUCGUGCCAGCAGCCGCGGUAAUACGAAGGGUGCUAGCGUUGUUCGGAAUCACUGGGCGUAAAGCGCGCGUAGGCGGCUUUGCAAGUCAGAGGUGAAAUCCCAAGGCUCAACCUUGGAACUGCCUUUGAAACUGCAAAGCUAGAGUGUCGGAGGGGAUGGCGGAAUUCCUAAUGUAGAGGUGAAAUUCGUAGAUAUUAGGAGGAACACCGGUGGCGAAGGCGGCCAUCUGAGACAACUGACGCUGAGGCGCGAAAGCGUGGGGAUCAAACAGGAUUAGAUACCCCGGUAGUC